rnacentral:rRNA from 1 species
UACGUAGGGUGCAAGCGUUAAUCGGAAUUACUAGGCGUAAAGCGUGCGCAGGCGGUUUUGUAAGUCUGUCGUGAAAUCCCCGGGCUCAACCUGGGAAUUGCGAUGGAGACUGCAAGGCUAGAAUCUGGCAGAGGGGGGUAGAAUUCCACGUGUAGCAGUGAAAUGCGUAGAGAUGUGGAGGAACACCGAUGGCGAAGGCAGCCCCCUGGGUCAAGAUUGACGCUCAUGCACGAA